rnacentral:lncRNA from 1 species
UCUUUUGCUACUUGUGCCAAGACAUAUAAAAAUAUUAGUAGGAUAAAAAGGGAAACACUUGUGUAA